AGUGGGACAACUGGGUCAAGUGAUUGCUCCAUUCCAAGUUUUCUGAGGAAUCUCCAUACUGCUUUCCAGAAUGGUUGCACAAUUUGCAGUCCCACCAGCAGU
rnacentral:pre_miRNA from 1 species